rnacentral:rRNA from 1 species
AAGUAAAAGUCGUAACAAGGUUUCCGUAGGUGAACCUGCGGAAGGAUCAUUAUUGAAAUUAUAGGCGAGGGUUGUAGCUGGCCUCUCGGGGCAUGUGCACGCCCGAGCCCUUAAUCCCACACACACCUGUGAACCUAUUGUAAGGGCCCGUAAAAAAGGCCUUUACGUCUUUAUCACCUACCCGAAGUCUCAUAGAAUGUAAACAUAUGUCCUCGCCUUAAAAAAGCGUUGAUAAAAUUUAUACAACUUUCAACAACGGAUCUCUUGGCUCUCGCAUCGAUGAAGAACGCAGCGAAAUGCGAUAAGUAAUGUGAAUUGCAGAUUUUCAGUGAAUCAUCGAAUCUUUGAACGCACCUUGCGCUCCUUGGUAUUCCGAGGAGCAUGCCUGUUUGAGUGUCAUUAAAUUCUCAAACUCUGAUUGAUUUGUUUCAAUCGAGCUUUGGAUUUGGAGCGUGCCGGCGUCAGUCGGCUCCUCUUGAAUGCAUCAGCGGAAUCCCAUUCAUUUCGGACGUCAGUGUGAUAAUCAUGUUGUGCUGUCUUUACGAUCUUGAAAGCCCGCUCACAAUGGUCUUCGGACAAACCUCACUAUCAUAUUUGACCUCAAAUCAGGUAGGACUACCCGCUGAACUUAAGCAU